CCUACGGCGGCUGCAGUGGGGAAUAUUGGACAAUGGGGGCAACCCUGAUCCAGCCAUGCCGCGUGUGUGAAGAAGGCCCUCGGGUUGUAAAGCACUUUCAGUGAGGAAGAACGCCUGGUGGUUAAUACCCAUCAGGAAAGACAUCACUCACAGAAGAAGCACCGGCUAACUCCGUGCCAGCAGCCGCGGUAAUACGGAGGGUGCGAGCGUUAAUCGGAAUUACUGGGCGUAAAGCGCGCGUAGGUGGCUUGAUAAGCCGGUUGUGAAAGCCCCGGGCUCAACCUGGGAACGGCAUCCGGAACUGUCAAGCUAGAGUGCAGGAGAGGAAGGUAGAAUUCCCGGUGUAGCGGUGAAAUGCGUAGAGAUCGGGAGGAAUACCAGUGGCGAAGGCGGCCUUCUGGACUGACACUGACACUGAGGUGCGAAAGCGUGGGUAGCAAACAGGAUUAGAUACCCCUGUAGUC
rnacentral:rRNA from 1 species